CCUAUAUGUAAGAGACUCAAAAGAAGUUUAAUUUUGUAAUGGUGAAGCAACUUCCUUGAAUGGACCAGCUGAUUUUAAAACACAGAGAGAGAUACAUAGGCGAGCAAAGAAAGACAAGGAAAAUGUUUCAAAAGCAAAUCAGGCAAUUACAAGAGAGAAGAGAACUAAUGAACAUAGAGAGAUAUUUACUAGAUGUGAAUCCCCAAACCCAGGACCAGUCAAACAAAAAGCCACUAAAAGAAGCAAGCAAUUGAUUAUCCAAACUAUCCACAUCCUCUAUCGUCUGCCUGUUACUCUCCCUCCAAGUACAGCACAUCAAACACAAUGGAACUAAAACCCAGAUGUCUGAAGAAUGCUUCCCCAACCAAUCCCACCAACCAAAAAUAAAAGAGCAGGUAUCGUCUUUGUCCAGUGCAUUCUGAUUGUUGUUCUUUAGAAUUUCAAAUGAGUUAUUACAAAUUUAAUGAAUCUCAAAGAGAACAAACUGUGUUAAAGAGGCUGAAGCAGGGUGAGAUUGUGGCAUUGAUAACUGAUGCGGGGACACUGUGCAUUAGUGAUCCUGGUAUGGAUUUGCAAUUGGAUUCCUAAACAUGCUAGAUCAAGAAGAGAGAGACUGAUGGUUUCUGCAAAUGAGUUGGUGACUCAAAUAUUUUAUGUUCCUCCACACAAGCUUCAUCAGUUUCUUAAAGAAAUUUCUUUGCAUUUCAGUGACUCUAGGUAAAUUCCUUAUCCACCUAAAUGUACAUAUAUCCUAUUUGCUACUAUGGAAAUCUCUUUAUCUGUUAUAUAAUAGAUGCAGGAAAACAUAUCAACAGUUUACUGGGAAGUGACAAAAUUGUAAAAUUCUUGCUUAGUCUGUCUGGUUGGUAAAUUUCUUCUUAACUUGCUUAUUGGCAAUAUGAGCUAUGUUCUUUCUUUUUCCUUUUAGUUUGCCCCUCCUUUUCUUGGAAAUGUCAUAUUUGUUUUAAGGGAGUGCUGGAGAUACACCCAAUGUCACUGGAUCAACAUCAGUAACCUUUUGUUCCUGGGUGAGAAUGGGUAACUUAUUGAUACUAUAGCCUCUUGCUUUUAAUUAAUUCCUAGGUUAUUAAUUAUUGUAUGCAGCCAAAUUUUGGUUUCUUGAUACAAUUAGGAGAUUAUCCUCAGGACUCCUGGUACAAUGAGCAGUUUUACAUCAAUUAGAGGGAGGUGAAAUUAUACGAGCUUUCACUCCUUUGAAGUUCUAAUUAUGGUUCAUUUCAUGUGACGAUGGAUUACAAAAUGAAAUUGUAUUAGUAAAUUCAUGUGUAAUAGCUGAUUUUCUGUGGAUAUUUACUCUUUUAAGUAGAUAUACAGUUCCUUAGAAUCAGCUUUAACAAUUCAUCAUAACAAUUGUAUUGCAGACGAUGUUUCAUAGCUCGAGAGAUGACAAUAUGCACGAAGAGGCCUUUCGUAUAUACCUGGAUAAACUUUUCAAUCAGUAUGUCACAAUUGUUUGCUCCUUAACUUCCAUUCUGGCUUUGGGGGAGGUCAUUCUACAAGCAAUAUGCACAAGAUAUGGACUUACUAUCAGGGCCAAGUUCAUAUGGCUUGUGAGAGUUUUAAUGAUAAUUUUCUAUCCUAUAGCUUGGGAUUAAAUAUCAGUCCAUGCUUUGUCUGCCAAAAGAGAAUCACAUUGUUGGAGCUCCAUGUGGUGUGAUGGACCAGAUAACUUAAAGCACGUGGUGAAGCCAACACACUUCUUGCAGUGAUGUUCCAGGAAUGCAUAUUAGCUCUGUAGAAAACUACUUGACUACAGUUUUUUCACAGAUCAAAAAAUGAUGUCUAAAUUUGAAUCUAUGCAGCCUGCUGAGAUAUAUCAAAUUGCUUUCUUAGCUAGACAUAAUGACCACAGCCCAGUGCUUUCGUUGGUGCUGAUUAACGUCAUAUGUGCUUACUCUAAGUAGCGAUAACUUAGACUCAUAUUCCUUGUUAUGGCUUUCAAAGCACUUAUAACAUUGGCAACUUCAGAUGAGCAACAUAUGGGAUCUUGGAGAACUAUUGUAUGAGGUAGGCCUCAGAUGGAAAUAAAGCAAUGGAGACUAGUGACAUCUGGAGUAUCAGCCCCUUGUAUUCCUUGAUUUUUGAAAUGCAAUGGGGACAGAUUAAAGAUAGCUUUUGUUGAGGACAUUACACAUAUAGCAGGAUUCAGGCCAAAAAGAAAAGGAAAGACCAAUUAAUUUCACUAUCAAAAGUUUUUGCUUCCAUCAUGCAAAAUUUGUACUAAGCCCAUGGUUUUCAAACCACAUCAAUGUUUCUAAUUCAAUUAUCAUUAUGUUACUCUAAGCUUGGUAAAAUACGUUUGGCUGAUGCUAAUUAAUUUGUAACAGGCUAAUCAUCAUGAAUGAGGUUUGUAGCUUUUAUAUGUCCUACUUAUGGGCAUGCAUGGUCAAGUUGUUUAGCUAGUUUUAUAUGGCCUAAUAAUUAUGGGCAUGUAUGAUCACCAUUUUAGUCA